UGUGACUCAGUAAUGUGUAGAAAAUGGAUAAAAAAGAAACUUACAAGACAAAAUCGAAGUCAGAAUAACUACCUGAAGUAGUAACAUUUUACAGGUUUUGCUCGGUCCUGCAUCUAUGAGAAAUGUGACUGCUGGGAUGGACAGAGUGGUGCCUUUGGGGACAGGAAGUGACUCAUUUAGUUAACACGGGAUGAGGUUCUGCUGGCUGCAUAUGCUAAUUUAAGAUAAGAUAGAGUUAUGGCUGAAACUCAUGCAAAGUUACUUUUAUCAAAGAGGGUUAUCUGGCAUAAAGCAAACUCUUCCGCUAUCAUUAGACCAGUGUAGAUUGCAUCAUGGAAGUACGGGUAAUGAAGGAUUGGUCUUUGAAUUAUUUAUAUUACAGUGUUUUCCAGAGGCCUCUGUCCGGAUGGUGUCUCCAUUGUGUGAGGUACUACACAUAGCAAUAUAUAGAGUGACGGUCCCAAAGAUCUUCAGUCUAAAAGGGUAUUUGCACUAGUAGAGAAUUUUUGGUACUUCAUAUUUAUAUAUACCGUAUCCCCCUGCACUCCCCAACCAGAGUAGUUAUUUGCCAGCAGAUUUCUUGUAGGAGUUGCAGCAGGAGUGGGUUUUGAGGGGGAUUUGAAGGAGAAGAGGCUAGUGGUUUAGGGAUUUGUGUGGGUGGCGGGGAGCAUUCCACACAAGUGCUGGAAGAAAGCACCAAGAUGUUUGUGGGCCGGGAUGCAGACUUUGCUCGUUUGUUUCUACAGUGCCCUGUGCAGUGUGGACCAGAUCUGUGAUUUGGGGUUCCUAGCUGUGACUGUAACUAAUAAAAAGAUGAAGGGACUGGCAGAGUCAUGUUGAUGUCACAGUGAAGACUAAUUUUCUCGGGGGUUAUUUUCUUUCCCUGUUGAAGAUGGGAGGUGCUGCCCUGAGGGUUGUGCUGUUGCCGGUACAGCACUCAGAACCCUUCUGAAGAUAUUAAGCACUUCCCAGGAUCCUGCUCUCACUGAGUUUCCCAGAUGUGAAGUAGUAGAAUAUCGCUUCUUACUUCAGUGUGAGACUAUCCCUCUGCUCUAUAAAUAGAGUGAUGUACAGACAGUGGCUAUUAUAUCUGUGUGCUAAUGCCCUCUACUGAUAUAGGAUGGAUGUGCAAUUGUACAUUUGCAGUCAAUUUUGUCCUACUUCUGAAAAAGAGCCAACUCUACACUGAUGUUUUUGUCAAAUCAAUUUACGAGUAACCUUAUGUUUUCUUAAACACUUCUUUGUUUCCUUGUGAUGAGAGCUAAUCCGAUCCAUGAUGUCUUUUCUAUAUUGUAGCUCCAUUAGUGUUCUUGUAUCUUUCUAGCAUCAUUCAAUAAGCGAUGCUUCCACGUCUGCCCUUCUUUCAAGUGUCAUCUGCAAUCACACGCUUUCCCCAGGGGUUCUGAAGAACCUGACUCCAUUUAUCCCCAUUGCUCUAGUAACCCUCCUUAGACUAUAAAAUCCCUGGGGCAGGGACUCUUAUUCUGUAAAGUUCCCUGAACGUUCAUGCGAAGAUUGAAAUUCUACAGCAUAAUAUCAGUUCAAGCAGAGUGUGGCCUACUGUCACACCGUGUGUUUUCUGCUGAACUGACUUCAGAGACUAAAGAUAGGCUCGUCCUUCAGAAGAGAACUCUGUGGUUUUUAUAAAGUGAACAAUAAGCUCUUUGUGGUUCAGGGCUAAUUAAACAGCAGAAAAGCAACAAAAAUAAACUUAGUCCUGUUUCCAUCAGAGUAAAAUCAAAAUGUAAAGUGGCCAGGCUGGUUUGCAGUGCCAUUAGGUGACUUGUGAUCUGAUCCAAAGCCCAUUGAGGUCAAGGGAAAGACACUUAGGGCUUGACCCAGUGGCCACUGAGAUCCACAGCUGGAAUCUCUAGACACUAAAAUGAGGCUCUGUAUCUAGGGAGGAUACUAUGCAGGAUGAGCCCCAGUUACUGGGGAGUUAUGAGGAGGUACAUUAUUGCACCUGCACACUGGGUCCAACGCUCCUGUUUUACUUUCACUUGUUUCCUGUUUCAGCAGAUGAAUAACGUCUGCAUUGGCAGACUGCAGUGUCAGGCGGUUAUGGGGUGAAAGUCUGGCCCCAUUUCCUUCUCUAGAGCCAGAUUUUUCACCCCAAGUGUUCUGCUCCUCUAAAGUGAUGACAAAUCUCCACCUACUCAGCCCAUGAUAACCCCCACAGACAACUACUGAGUGUCGGCUUCACCUAAUAUUCAGUGGGAAGAUUUUUGUUUUGUGUUUUUUUUUUUUUACAGGGCAAGGGGCAGCUAAACACACAACUCCCAUUGACUUGUAAUGAGAUUGGGUGCCUAACUCCCCUUUGUGCCCGAGGUGACCUCCUGUUCUGCUAGACCUGACCCGGUCUUAGUGAUUUAUGAGGAAAAUACGCACUAAAUCAGCAGUUGCUGUUCAUAUCUAGUUGCAGAAGCCAAUGAAGAGUUUCUGCAGCUGGCUCAGAGGAAUUUUAAGAGAGGUGACAGUGGCCUCAUAGACGCAAAAGGCUGUGGCUCAGAAUGCAGAGUGGGUUUUUGUACAGGCUGUCUAAUGUUUUCUAACGCUGUGUGAUCCCAAUAGGCACAAUAGUAAGUAGCAAUGUCACUGGAGGUUAUUUUGUUUAUAGUCAGGGUACAGGUAGACUGGUCAAUCUUCUUUUCAGCAUUAAACUUUCCUUUAUCCGAGACUCUGUCAAAUUCAGACUGUGUUGAGAUGAACAGAAUCCGCUCUGGAGCUGCACCGGGUCUCUGUCUAUACCAGUGUAUAGGAGCCUUGCCAAAAUCCUCAGAUAGAGAAACAUGACAGUCAAUUCGUAAGGUUUUAUUUCCUUCCCUAGUGAUGGACAGCUGAGGUUGGGUCAGACUCACCUGCGAGGAGCCAUCUAUGGAGAAACAAAGAUAAAAUAUAAAAAUAAAACUGAAAUAAUGUGAAGACUCUCCAGCAGCUGUCAUGUACCAAUGUAUGCGGAGAGCAGUGUGAAUAGGGUGACCAGAUUUCCUGAUUUUUAUAGGGACAGUCCUUAUAUUCAGGGCUUUGUCUUAUAUAGGUGCCUUAACCCCUCCCCCCGUCCCAAUUUUUCACACUUGCUAUCUUGUCACCCAAAGUGCAAGCAACACACUUACAGGAGCAAACCGUAGCCAGAACAAAAGUCUUUAACAGCAACAUUCUUGCUGCCCUUGUUAGAACUCCAGCCAAGGAAUGUAAAUGACGGUCUUGAAUGGAGAGAGACAUGUAGAUGGGGAGAGGAAGUGACUCAUUUAGAUAACCUCCAGUUAAGUGGUACUAGCUGUAGAAGAUUUAUUGCAAGGUGAGGUAGAGCUACUGCUGCUCAGUAUGACAACUUUGACCUUGGGCGAGUGUCAACCCUAGCACUGGUGUCAAAUAGAUUCCUUGGGUGUGUUUCAGGAUCAGUGUUCAUGAUUAUUAUUACUGUCGUUUAUUACUUAUAUUACUGUAGCAACCUGAGAUACUGUGCUGGAUCCGGGCCCCAGAGUGAAAACAAAGAGGCAAAGUCCUGCCUCACACUGCUGACAGCCUGAAAAAAGGAGUGACCUCUCCAGCUUGUAGGAAAGGAAAACGUCAAAACCCCUUUAUUUUUUCUACAUAUAUUUAUUUUUUACCAUGUCAUUAUUUAUGCAGAAAUACACUGGUUUUUGUUUUCUCCUUGCUCACCCCUAAAGCUCAUUGUGUGUUAGCAGAUUUCUUAUACAUCCUGUGGAAUAGAAAUCUUGCAGAGGAGAAGGUAGCGAUGUUGCAUAUGAGACGAGGGCCCUGUUCCAUGAGUAUGUGACAGUAUGGAAGAAAGCACGAAUGAAUUUGUUGGAAAAUUUAAUAGGCAGGUGAUGGUCAAGACGGGGAAGAGAAGAGCUGCUGACCGUGCAGUUAAAACUGUAGUUGUCUUUCUGUCAUUCACUUAUCACUUGCCCAGGGAAGCUGCUGAGCCUUUCCUGAUGGAGAGAAUGAGUCAGUGCCCUCGGAUCGCAUGGAUACCAGUGGAAGUUGAUGGUGUUCACAAUGUUUCUGGGGACACUGAGCAUCUGGCAGAAUUCAGCUGUAGCAUAUUUUUCAGUCUUGAAUUCUUCAGGUUUUCUCCUACUUAAUUGUGAUUCUUGGCCAUUUUACAUCUCACUACUCGUAACAGUGCUAAUACAUCUGUGUGCUAGUGCCCUUGACUGAAAUAGGAUGGCCUUGUUCAUGGACACUUAGUUUCAUCCUAGCUCUGUAAAAGGGCCAAUUUAUACCUGAAGGUGUCGUGUACAAUUAAUUUACAAGCAACUUCUUUCUCUUUUUUAAUAUUCGUUUUUAUUGUCUUGCAGUGAGGACUAAUCCACUGCAGAGAACUCUACUUGAAGUAGAGAAGGACUCUGUUCAGCUCUCAUUUAAAGGGCCACCAAGAAGUUGAUGUUCUGGAUAUUUCAAGAGCCAUUUUUGUAAACAGACAAUUCAUGCUGUUUUAUUCUGUGUUUAAUAGAGAAAUGAUCCCCCACAAAGGAAUUUGUUUAUCUGUAUAGGGCCUAUGUGAAAUUUCUGUCAAAAUUCACUCAUCCUGUGGGCCUUCAAAACCUAAUUCCUCUUCGUGGUGCGUGUGUGUGUAUGCUUGACUGUAUGGCAGAAGGUAGAAAAGAAGUAACCAGAUUUUUUUUUUUAAAGGGGAUGUCACAUCACUGCAGUCCUUGUUUUCCUUCCUUCAUUAUCCAUCCAAGCAUUUAUCCACAAAGCUUAAACGGAGAGGAGUACUAGAGGAAUCAGCUCCCUGGGGCAGGGACUUUGAUCAUUUAUUUGCUCGGUGCAGGUCGACUUGGAGAGCUGCUUCUCUGCCUCAAACUUUCCCUUCUCAGAAUCCUGGUCAAAGACGGGUUUUCCUGAUGAAAGAUAGAGAAUCCGUUCCAGAGCUGCAUCAGGUCUCUGUCGAUACCAGUGUAUAUAAGCAGUACUAAGGGUUAUGCCAGAAACAUGACAGUCAAUUCGUGCAGUUCUAUCUUCUGCUUUGGUGAUGGAUAGUUGAGAUUGUACCAGUACUUGGGCCUCUCCAUCUGCAGAGAAAAGAGACAAAUGCCAUUUAAUCUGAAAUUGAAUGAACAUGGAGGAUCUCCAAUCAUUGCUCAGUAAGGUGCCUGCAUGGAGAAGCCUAGAGUGUAAAAAGCAACUUACAAGACCAAACUACUGAAGCAACAAGAUAAACUUGCAGUAGUAACAUUCUCACUAGGUUAUGAUGAGCCUGCUACUGAGAAAGAAAGGAAUAUGAAUUCUGAUCUCAGAAAAAGGGAGGGAUCACUUGAGUAGAGGAAGUGCCUGGUGAGCUAUUUCAAGGCAAUACAGAUUUGCAUUUGCCUUAUAUAAAAGUUCGAUAUAUGAACAUCUCCUAACCUUCCCUCAUGCUAUCUAGCAACUCUUCUGACUGCUGCCUUGUUUAGAACUUUUGAACAAGAGUAUCAGAUUUUUGUAGCAAUGGUUACAGGUACUGAGGUUCUCUGCCUUCCCCGCCCCCCCCCCCCGCCUCCUUUUUUAAACUUAAACAUCAGCAGAUUUGAUUACGGAAUAAUGCUCUCAGCAUGAAAAAGGCAACUAAUCUAACUUUUUCAAGCAGUGAUGAAAAUAGAUCACUAAGUGUUGAUGCCAAGUCCAUUGAAGUCAAUGGGAAGUUCUUCAGUUGAUUUCCAUGACCUUUGGAAUAAGCCCCAAUUCCUAGGGAGAAUUUACUCAGGAAUUUUUCAUCUUAUCUUAACUCAGAGUCCCCUCAAGUUUAUAGAUCUGAUAGCAUUGUUGUCAAGGAAAAGAAAUCGGUAAUCUCUUAAAUAAACACAUUGUCCUUGCACUUUAAUUUGACUUUUGCCUCAUCCAAACUCAGAGAUGCUUCAAUGAUUAACUCUUUGUUUUCACCUACAUCAGUAGAUUCCCGUUGUUUCAUAAGGGGUUUCAUAUGCUGUCUGUGAAUUGUGGUGCUAUAUACACCCUGUCUGGGAGUUUCUGUUUGGGCAUCUGUUAGUGUCUAUUCCCCCAACUCCACAAGAGUAUGUAACUUUUAUUGGGUGACCUUCAUCUCUGUGCAGAGAGCCAGAACAAGGUCCUUACACAGUUUUAACCCCACUAAAGUCCUAUUUUGAGGGUUUAAGUGAGAAGUAAGUGCAGUAUAAACCUUGUCCUUGCCCCUCUACAAAGGGCUGAAUCUGUAACAUUGUGAAUAUACUUUGCAUGCUAUCCAAAGAAACAUAGCAACAAAUAUACCAUAUUUCAAAAACAUAGUUAUUAAGUAUACUGAUGGAGUGCUACCAGCACUGUUCCUGGUGCUUUUUUUUUUUUCAAUCAACACAAACUUCUUAACUUUCUUUGAACAGACCUAGCUGGGGAAAGGGAGUUAGGGUCAGAUCCUUAAAGGUAUUUAGGAGCCUGAACUUGGUCACCUGGAGAAACUUGGUCUGAAUUCCAAGGAUUUAAAAAUCAUAGUCUGUACCCAGGCAGCCAUUUUCCUAAUCAGGAGACCAGGAAUGAUCUCACAAAGAAGGCUGUACUAGACGUGGAUGAGAGUGGACGUUUAAAUGAGACGGAAAGCCUCCCUGUGGAAUUCUUGAGGGUGCUGAGAAUUGUCUGAGCCCUGCCUUGUUAAUUAAGGGCUAACUUACCACUGACUUAUGGGGAUGCACAAGGGAGAGGAAGGUUUUGAGUAAGUUGACUCACAUUAAUAGUCUCAUUGACUGAAGUGGGUUUAUUCAGGAGAGAUGGUUGUUUUCAAAAUUGACUCCUCAGGUAGUCUGAUAAUGCCCCAUCUUCCUCUGGCUCUGUUGUAUUGAAACAAGAAAAUUCAAUUAGAGUAAUUCAUUUGCUGUGUACUUAUUUUCAUACACAUUUAUACUCUGUUAAAUGGCCCUUGUGAUAGAAAUCUACAGGGUUCUCCAAUUUUAUUUUUACCAUUUAGUUUCUAUAGAAACAUGCAGUUCUAGGAUGGAAACGCUGUAAUGACUGCUGUAAAUAUACAAUAUUCCCCACCAAACAAUUUUGCCUCUGAAGAAUCAACAUCAGCCCUCUUCUUGACAUCUGCAGAGAGCCCUUUUACAGAAGUUGUAGUGUCUCUGCAAAAGGGUGAGUGAAAGUCUCCAGGGAGUGUGUUGUGGAUGUCUGGGGGCCUGAUCCAAAGCUCAUUGAAGUGGCUGGGAGUUCUUCCACUGACUUCACUGGACUCUGGAUGAAACUUGAAAAUGGCUAUACUGUAAGGUGACAAGCACCUGCGUCUCCCAUUACAGGCAACAGGAACUCACAAGGCCAGGGCCUUAUGGCUUUAAAUCCCACCAACAGUAAAAUGAAAAUCCCAUUCCUAAUACUAAAAUGUGGGAAAAGAUACUUCUGAGUAUAGUUGGCUUUGUUUGUAAACAACAACAACAAAAAACCUCAUUACAAAAAUGGUGAAGUAAUUGGAAUCCAAACCUGCUAGAUAUUUAAACGCAAUUUGUUGGUUCUUGUCUUGAUGAAGCAGCUGAAAAGUGACACAUCCUAUUUUGUUAAAAGGAUGUUUGUGGUAUGGGAGGGAGGGAGCAGGGGAAAUUUGCUGUAUGAACUUUUUAUUCUCAAGACAUCUUGUGGCUUCACAAAAUAAACUGUUAAUGGUUCAAUAUUAAUUCAGUUAAAAAUUUUGUGUCACUGUAUCAUUUUCUGCCUUCACCAUUUGCUCAUGUUACAGAAAGCAGCACUUUCUGAAAAUGGUACCCUUGAGAAAUCUCAGCUGCCAAUGCCCAGGUCCAUGUUCCAGAUCUUGCUACAGCCCUUUGAAAAUUCUGGGUUUUUUUUGGUUUUUUUGAGGAACACAGUGGGAUAACUUUGCAUUGAGCACUGGGUCAUAACUUUAAAAAUAUACAUAAUAAUUGCCGGUACAAAGAUCAAGGGACUAGAAGGAAAAGAGCCUCCCAACUCAAGUUUAAAAUCUUAUUAUGACUUAAUUGAAUUCCGUACAUAAGUCUGAGAACUACUGAAAAUAAACUGAAUACUUUGCUCAUACAGAGUUUAUUCUAUAAAGCACUUAAUAAUGAUGGAAGUGCUGAGGUCUCACCUCUCAUUAGUGCCUACAGAUGAUGAUGAGAGCACCUACCUUUUGGAAAUAGCUCAGUAUGUUGCAGGAUAGAACACCUUUCCUUUGGAGAUUUCAAAAUACUUUAAUGCAGGAAAAAAGAAAUGCCAAACAUCUUCCUUACUGAUGCAGAGGAUGACGUGAACAAUACACUUAGAAAACUGGGUUGAGUUGCAGACACCAGUGAGGACAGAGAAAAUAUGGAAAACUUAGAAUAUGAGGAAAAGUUACUGACAUUGAUCUCAGUCAGGCAUAGAAUCAUCUGUCAAAGGAGAUGAUGGAAGUCCUAUUUUGGAGACCUUUAAUACUAGACUAGAUAAAACACUAGAAAAUACUUUGUAGGGAAUAGUUCUGCCUUGGCAGGAAGAUGGACUGGAUGCUGUAAUAGGUCUUUUCCAUUUCAAACCUCUCUGAUUUUAUGAACCUUAAAUACAUGUAAAUGAAUUCUUUGGAAAUAAAUAUGUAAGUACCA